UGACUCGGGAAACAAUGCGAAUGGUGUUGGAGGAACAGCACCCAAGGCUGUGACCUAUGACCUAGACACACAUGCACACAAUGCUUUCCACAUAAGGCCAAAUAAUUUUUUAGAAAUAUGUGUGGGCCGAGUCUCAUGUCCGGAUCAAGUUUACUCAGAAUUACAGUGCUGGUGCUGGCGGGAACAGUGGGGACUGUUGUGAACACAAAGCCGUUUUCCUGGCAACUCUCAUCCUUCUGAACAUCGUCACAACAUCCACCUUGGAGAGGAUCCUGGGGACGUGGGAGGCAUUGGCCACAUCCCCACACACCCUGGCCACUUUCCACGUAACUUCUAGAAACCCACAACAGAAACUGCCUAUGGGCUUUCAAGAUCAGGAAACUCAUUCAACGUCAGAGAAUUCACACUGGAGAAAAGCCCUGGGCUCGUGAAGGUGCAGCCCUACGUGCCGUGGAAGCCGAGUCAGCAGAGCUCUGAGUUUAAGGGUGGUUCCUGAGCAGCCUCCCCCGCAGCCUGGGUGUGGUGAAGAGACACUCCGGGGCCCACUCUUGCUCAGUCACCAAGUGUCCUUCCCCAAGGUCAUUCCUGUGUCCAAGCACAACACCAACUAAUAGUAACGUCUCCUUGCCAGAGGGAAGCAACGCGGGCUCCUGUCACCUCAUGGGUCUUCAGAGCUAACAUGGCCGGGCUGCCUGGUGGGCAGAGUAGGGAGGAAGAGGGAGUGCUAAGAAAUCCCCUUCCUCCCUGGGAGACCUUGGAGGGAAAGACAGAAAAUCAUCUGGAAAGGCGAGCUUCAUCUUCAAAGGCCAAUGGCCAGAGCCAUCUCCCUAUGCCGCGGUGUCCAUAGGGACACACAGGUACCACGGAUCAGACGUGAAUCACCUUCAAAUGUUAAAUCUGUAGGAAAAAAUAAGGUAUAAAUAGAUCGUAGAAGAAGAGAGUAUUUGUAGACAACAAAGUCUCACAGACAUGUGUCAACAUGUAGGGUUUGCAGAGUCACUGGAGGGCUUCCGAGAAGAGGCGGGCUUUGGACAGGUUUGAAAGAUGGGUUGAGAGCCAGGCGUCUGCCUCUUGUAAUUCCAGCAUGCAGUGUGCUGAGGCAGGGGAAUGGCAAGUCUGAGACCAGCCUGGGUUGUAUAGGUGGCCCUGUGCUGUGGUAGCGGAUAGAGGAGGGGAAAUGAGCCCCAUUCCUCCACGGGCUCCGGCUCUGAGCUUCUGCCCUGGCCUUCAUGAUGGACUGAACCCGUAGGGCUGCCUUUGGUCACGGCAUUUACGACAGCCACAGAACACAAACUCAGACAAAGCCUGGCCCUCACUCUGGGCCAUGCUCUGCCCAGAGAUUUGGAUGGGAUUCAGCAGCUAACGAACACAUUUGCGUGGCAGAGAGAAUCUUUGAAUGCUAUGAAUAAGGGGAAAUUGUCAUCCAAUCCAUAAUUCUCACUGGAGAGACUCCCGAUGAAUACAGGGCGGGGGGAGCUCCUCAGAUGGAGGCCGGCAGCCAUAGAGAGGAGAAAAUCACAGGGCGCGGGUACAGCGCCCAAAUAGGCUCGAACCCACGUCAGAGCUCAUCACUGGGAGAGCAUCACAAGAGACAGCACACAUCCUCCACGUGAGCCCCAAGGGGGCCGCAGCAGCGGAGGCGUCAGAUGAGCCAUUUGGAGUGAAAGCCUUUGAAAGGAAUGAAUGGGGGUGGUGAUGGUUUGGGGGACCAAUCAAGUCUUAUUCAUCAGCUGAAAAUUCCGGCUGGGAAGAGGGUGGGCGCCUUGUCGUCAGUGACGAAGCUCGGGCGCUCCCAUCUCACAGGACAAGGAUGGAGCCUGGGAGCACUGCAGACCCAAAGUGCUCACACAGGACGAAAACAUGACGGAGGAGACAGAUUUAGAAGGAGGCCCUGAUGGCCCUCCUGCUUUUAUCAGCGGCAGAUGAGACAGAGCCAGGUGUGGCGGUGGGGGCCAGCCACCCCAGCACUGGGAGACUGAGGCCAAAGUAUGCAGAGUUUGAGAGGCUGGUGACGUGACUCAGCGGGUGAAGGCGCUUGCCGUCCAAGCCUGAGUUCAAUCCCUGGGUCCUACCAGGAGGAGAGAGAGCUGACUUCAACACAAAGUCUUCUAACCUCCACACCCUCGCCGUGGGAUGUGCCCGCCCCCACAUAAUUAACUGUAAUAAAAAAUUAGUAUAUAAAUAAAUAAAUACAUAAAUUUCAA